CCUACGGGAGGCAGCAGUGGGGAAUUUUGGACAAUGGGCGCAAGCCUGAUCCAGCCAUUCCGCGUGAGUGAAGAAGGCCUUCGGGUUGUAAAGCUCUUUCGCAAGGGAAGAAAGAUUACAUUCUAAUAUAAUGUGAUUAUGACGGUACCUUGAUAAGAAGCACCGGCUAACUACGUGCCAGCAGCCGCGGUAAUACGUAGGGUGCGAGCGUUAAUCGGAAUUACUGGGCGUAAAGCGUGCGCAGGCUGUUUUGUAAGUCAGAUGUGAAAUCCCCGAGCUCAACUUGGGAACUGCGUUUGAAACUACAAGACUAGAAUAGGUCAGAGGGGGGUAGAAUUCCACGUGUAGCAGUGAAAUGCGUAGAGAUGUGGAGGAAUAUCAAUGGCGAAGGCAGCCCCCUGGGAUCAUAUUGACGCUCAUGCACGAAAGCGUGGGGAGCAAACAGGAUUAGAUACCCUGGUAGUCCACGCCCUAAACGAUGUCAACUAGUUGUUGGUAGAGUAAAAUCUAUGAGUAACGCAGCUAACGCGUGAAGUUGACCGCCUGGGGAGUACGAUCGCAAGAUUAAAACUCAAAGGAAUUGACGG
rnacentral:rRNA from 1 species